UGCUUUGAGUCUCCAAAAACGCUGAGCCGGCCCUGUGUCUAUUUCACCAUAUUGCUCCAUUAGAGGUAUUUUAUACAACACCAGAGAAGCCACACAUGAAGCAAAACACAACGCUAAUCCGGCUAAUUAGUUCAGUGCUGGAUGACACGGCUAUGGUUAGGUUUUCAUCACACUGAUUUCAUUACUAGCAUCUUAUGCAAUCGAAAUUGCCUAUGUAUCUUUCUUAUUUAUGUUUACAAUGAAUCAAUUUAUUGGAAAGGAGAACGAAACCCUAGCCCUAGCCUAGGGUUUUAGUCCAGUAGAUCCCAAUUACAUUUUAAUGGAAGAUUGAUUGCCUUUUUCAGUAAUGUGUGUUGUUUCUUCUGAUCUUAAGUAAUAUAUGCUUUGAUGGUGUUGUAUGUGCCAUUGAUUCAUCUAUCGCCGUUUUCGCCUCCAAGUUGGUGGUCUAUAAAAUAUCCCUCUCUUUUAAAAAAAGUAUAUUUGUUUCAUUCAGUUGAUCGCCUAUAUACACUGUUCUAGCGAGUUUUUGGCCUGUCUCCUGCCCGAAAAUGAUGGUGUGUUGCUACUUGAUAUGGCAACUCCGGUUGCAUCCAUGACACAACUGAGCUGGCUAUUUUUGACGACGAUGAGGAAGCGUGCUUCUGACCUAUUUUCCCCUUUUCAACGACCAUCAUGAUCUUUUUAGAUCUGAGUCAAUUGGUGUUGAUGAUUUCGUUUUGGUCACUAAAGUUUAAGGCAAAAUAUUGUUCUAUUUUCAAUUAUGCUUAAUGUUCCACUUUAAAACAUCUGUUUUUGGUAUUUUAAUUUUGGUUUUGUUAUCAUGGUCAUGGUGAUACUUGAGACUUUAAAAGUUGACUUUUUUUAAUCAAUUUAUGGUGUUAACUGCCAAGACUAACAGUACCUAACAGCUGUGUAUCAGCUGUGUAUCAGCUGCGUAUCAGACAAAGAGCAGCGUAUAGGCUGAAAGAAUGAUAACAUAAACGGCCUUGCCACCUCUUUGUCAACCUGUUUGAAUAGGUGUAUAAGCCUAGGGAUGAGCUCGGUUUCAACUGAUACCGAAAAUCCCAAAAAUUGGGUAUCAGUACUGGUAUUUGUAGGUAAAAACCGGUACCGAAAACGCUAAAUGUCGGUACCAAUAAUAUCAUGGUUUGGUAAAUUCGGUACAAGUACAAGUACCUAUACCGGUAUCCGGUAUCAUUUGCUCAUCUCUAGUUAUGUUUUGUCAACCCGUUCGAAUAGGUGUAUAAGCUAUAACAAAUAUUUUGUAAAAGAAACAGUUUUGACAUUUUAAGUGUUGGUUAAAGUCUUAAAGAAACGACUUUGACUUUUUAAAGUAAACUUUGAAGCUACAGAUUUCAUUAUGUUAUUGAACCUUGAAGUGUAUAAACAUAACAGCAGCGUAUUAUAUGCCAUGAUAAGUUUUGUUGACCCGUUUGAAUAGGCAAUCACGAUUAAAACAUUUUGUUUUCCCCCUUACUCAUUAUCAAAUUGCCAUACUCGAAGGGAAACCAAGCACGGCCAGAGGAUCGCAACUUCAACUCCUUCAAUUGACACUUCGAUUGAAAAAAGAAUAUAACUCUGGUGAUUUAGGUCAGUAAUUAGUAAAAAUUAAAAAAAUAUGUUCAAAUGGUCAACAAUGUGUGAUUGUGGGUAUAUGUGCAACAAUCGAGAUGCAUUUCUGUGAUUUUUACCAGUUUGAAUUGAAACUUCGUUGUUGUUUUGUUUAUCAGUGUGUGCAUGUGCAAUGAUCAAGUUAGUUGAUCAUAAAUGCAUUUUGUUUGUUCAUGAAUUAUUCACUGAAUUUUAGAUGGCCGACGAAAUACGUGAAUCGGGUCGGAUUACGUGUCAGAUCAUGAUCAUGCUCUGUUAAUGUUUGAAUGUAAACGGGUUCAAGUCAGAAUGGGUCAAUUUAAAAAAGGCAUCAUUUUGUCAUUUGGUCAAAUUGGAGCUCAGACUUUUGCAUUCAGUGAGCUUGUAGCUAUUCAUCGUAUUUUUAGCCCUGGUUGUUUUUUAGGGGAGGGUGGGUUUGGAUCAAUGUAUAGAGGGCAAAUUCAGGGAAGUGGUCUGAUACGUAUUGGAACUUGGAAGGUAAACAUUAAAAAUAAUGGUGAUUAUAUGUAUAAAUACUCAUUUUUUUAAGUCAGUUGUUUUUUUUUUGUCUGGUUAUUUUCAUUCUGUAACUGUUACGACUGGCGGGUUUGGGAAUUCUGUGAAGGUGAGUGUAGAGUUGGUGGUUGAGGCUGUGAAUCUCGAGCCUGCUAGCCAGCCGUUUGAGGUGGUGUGCCACCCUCGCGCAAGCACGCCUGAGUUCUGAGUGAAAGCGUCAACUGUAAACGCAGCAAUGCGGAUUCAGUGGUCUCCAGAAAUAAGGCUCAAGAUGGCUUUAGAUAAAAAAGGAUUAGUCGCGAAUUAGCUGGUUCAUGGGCACGAUUUCUUUGUUUGAUGUAAAAGAUCAGUUUCGUUGGCUGAAUUCACCUUGGAGGCUUCGUGAGGGAUACUCUUUAUAGAGUACGCUUUAUGAGUGAGAUAUUAAUGAAUACGUAUUUAUAAGUAGCUGGGAUGAACCCGAUUUGCUACAAAACGUGAAACGGGUCAGGGGCCGUGGUUAGUUGAGUUGGUGUCGUAUGUGCCAUUGAUUCAUCUUUCGCCGUUAAUGGCCGUAAUGUUAUGGUUGGAGAGGCUAAAAGAAGCAGAGUAACAAUUAUAGAGCUGCUACAACAAAGCCUAGAACAACAUGCUGCAAGUGUACUGUUUUCUUCAACUAUAACCAACAAAAGGACCGUCAUAUAAGAUAUCGGAUUUACUUCGUAUCUGCCAACAAUUUAAAAAUGGAUGCAAUGUUUUUUUACACCCUUAACCUACGUACAAGCUGUCUCAUUUAAAUCUAUUUCUUAGUAAUAUGUCAACCCGCAUCUUUUGUUUUGUACAUAAUCAUAUCGCUCUACGGACUACAUGUUAAUAGCUAAUUCUGCAGUAUAGCAGGUUGUUUUUAGUAUUGUACUUCACUGGUAAGACUACAUAUUGCACACAUACAUGUAAAGUAUGCCGCUGCAUCAUGCGGGCAGACCUGCUAGUUCAUAUUUA